UCUCUUCCCUUCUUUAAUGGGAAACACACAGAAACUGAAUUGGGGGAAGGAAAGAACAAUGAACUCCAAAACCUAACCCCUUGUCUUGAUUUUAAUUCGUCGUAACUUUCAAUCCGGAGCUCCGAUUGACGAGCCGUCAGCGAUCACGCGUUCGUCUCGGAAUCCUCUACGAAACCCACCCCAUAAUUUGGUUCUAAUUAGCUUCGUGGACUUGCGGGUCUUAUCCCAGUUUUGCAUUAGUAAGUUUGGAUUGUGAACUUUCAAAACAAAUUGGUGGUGUUGGAGACUUGGUAUUGGACUCUGGAAAGAUAGAGACCCGUUUGGUGAGACUUUGGAAACUUGGGUAUCAUGGAACGGUAACAAAUUGUGACGUUCUGGGUUUUACGAGGAAUCGGUCAAGAUGCAGGUUGAGAAGCACCACUCCGUAUUCUGGAGACGCUGACGAAGCGAAGAACUCUUGAGACUUAGGGUCGUAUCUUUGUUUAUAUUUAUGAAUGUAUAUAGAUUCUCCGCCUUGUAUUUUAUGUUUGUCUCUCUUAGAGGUUGACUCGGAGAAACAAGUUGUCAUUUUCUGCUUUGGGUCAUUUUGGGAUUCUCUUAUAUAUAUAUAUAUACACUUGUAUGUUCUGGCCGGUUUAUCUUCGCGAAUCGAGUUAGAAGCUUUGUUAAUUA